rnacentral:rRNA from 1 species
CGGUGGAUGAUGUGGUUUAAUCGAUGCAACGACGAAAACCUUACCACCUUUGACAUGUACGGAAUCCUUUAGAGAUAGAGGAGUGCUCGAAAGAGAGCCGUAACACAGGUGCUGCAUGGCUGUCGUCAGCUCGUGUCGUGAGAUGUUGGGUUAAGUCCCGCAACGAGCGCAACCCUUGUCAUUAGUUGCUACAUUCAGUUGGGCACUCUAAUGAGACUGCCGGUGACAAACCGGAGGAAGGUGGGGAUGACGUCAAGUCCUCAUGGCCCUUAUAGGUGGGGCUACACACGUCAUACAAUGGAUGGUACAAAGGGUCGCCAACCCGCGAGGGGGAGCCAAUCCCAUAAAGCCAUUCGUAGUCCGGAUCGCAGUCUGCAACUCGACUGCGUGAAGUCGGAAUCGCUAGUAAUCGCGGAUCAGCAUGUCGCGGUGAAUACGUUCCCGGGUCUU